CCGCAUGGUGGGUGUUGGAAAGAUUUAUCGGUUUUGGAUGGACUCGCGGCCUAUCAGCUUGUUGGUGAGGUAAUGGCUCACCAAGGCGACGACGGGUAGCCGGCCUGAGAGGGUGACCGGCCACACUGGGACUGAGACACGGCCCAGACUCCUACGGGAGGCAGCAGUGGGGAAUAUUGCACAAUGGGCGAAAGCCUGAUGCAGCGACGCCGCGUGAGGGAUGACGGCCUUCGGGUUGUAAACCUCUUUCAGUAGGGAAGAAGCGAAAGUGACGGUACCUGCAGAAGAAGCACCGGCUAACUACGUGCCAGCAGCCGCGGUAAUACGUAGGGUGCGAGCGUUAUCCGGAAUUAUUGGGCGUAAAGAGCUCGUAGGCGGUUUGUCGCGUCUGUCGUGAAAGUCCGGGGCUUAACCCCGGAUCUGCGGUGGGUACGGGCAGACUAGAGUGCAGUAGGGGAGACUGGAAUUCCUGGUGUAGCGGUGGAAUGCGCAGAUAUCAGGAGGAACACCGA
rnacentral:rRNA from 1 species